GUACGGCGCAAGCGUUAUCCGGAAUUAUUGGGCGUAAAGAGCUCGUAGGCGGUUUGUCGCGUCUGCUGUGAAAUCCCGAGGCUCAACCUCGGGCCUGCAGUGGGUACGGGCAGACUAGAGUGCGGUAGGGGAGAUUGGAAUUCCUGGUGUAGCGGUGGAAUGCGCAGAUAUCAGGAGGAACACCGAUGGCGAAGGCAGAUCUCUGGGCCGUAACUGACGCUGAGGAGCGAAAGGGUGGGGAGCAAACAGGCUUAGAUACCCUGGUAGUCCACCCCGUAAACGUUGGGAACUAGUUGUGGGGUCCAUUCCACGGAUUCCGUGACGCAGCUAACGCAUUAAGUUCCCCGCCUGGGGAGUACGGCCGCAAGGCUAAAACUCAAAGGAAUUGACGGGGACCCGCACAAGCGGCGGAGCAUGCGGAUUAAUUCGAUGCAACGCGAAGAACCUUACCAAGGCUUGACAUAUACGAGAACGGGCCAGAAAUGGUCAACUCUUUGGACACUCGUAAACAGGUGGUGCAUGGUUGUCGUCAGCUCGUGUCGUGAGAUGUUGGGUUAAGUCCCGCAACGAGCGCAACCCUCGUUCUAUGUUGCCAGCACGUAAUGGUGGGAACUCAUGGGAUACUGCCGGGGUCAACUCGGAGGAAGGUGGGGAUGACGUCAAAUCAUCAUGCCCCUUAUGUCUUGGGCUUCACGCAUGCUACAAUGGCCGGUACAAAGGGCUGCAAUACCGUGAGGUGGAGCGAAUCCCAAAAAGCCGGUCCCAGUUCGGAUUGAGGUCUGCAACUCGACCUCAUGAAGUCGGAGUCGCUAGUAAUCGCAGAUCAGC
rnacentral:rRNA from 1 species